rnacentral:tRNA from 1 species
GUGGCUAUAGUUUAACGGUAGAACAGCGGCUUGUGGCGCCGCUGGCGAGGGUUCAACUCCCUCUAGCCACCCA